rnacentral:rRNA from 1 species
GACGAACCGUGCAAACGUUGUUCGGAAUCACUGGGCUUAAAGGGCGCGUAGGCGGCUCGCCAAGUCGGGGGUGAAAUCUUUCGGCUUAACCGGAAAAGUGCCUUCGAUACUGGCGGGCUUGAGCGAGGUAGGGGCAUGUGGAACUUCCGGUGGAGCGGUGAAAUGCGUUGAUAUCGGAAGGAACGCCGGUGGCGAAAGCGACGUGCUGGACCGCUUCUGACGCUGAGGCGCGAAAGCUAGGGUAGCGAACGGG